rnacentral:tRNA from 1 species
ACAUUUAGCUCAGCAGUAGAGCAUCUCUUUGGAAUAGAGACGGCGGCGGUGCGAUUCCGCCAAUGU